GACGAACGCUGGCGGCGUGCCUAAUACAUGCAAGUCGAGCGGAAGUUGAAGAGCUUGCUCUUCAACUUUAGCGGCGGACGGGUGAGUAACACGUGGGCAACCUGCCCUGCAGAUCGGGAUAACUCCGGGAAACCGGUGCUAAUACCGAAUAGUUUUCGCCACCUCCUGGUGGCGUACGGAAAGACGGUUUCGGCUGUCACUGCAGGAGGGUCCCGCGGCGCAUUAGCUAGUUGGUGGGGUAACGGCCCACCAAGGCGACGAUGCGUAGCCGACGUGAGAGGGUGAUCGGCCACACUGGGACUGAGACACGGCCCAGACUCCUACGGGAGGCAGCAGUAGGGAAUCUUCCGCAAUGGACGAAAGUCUGACGGAGCAACGCCGCGUGAGUGACGAAGGUUUUCGGAUCGUAAAACUCUGUUGUGAGGGAAGAACAAGUACCAACUAACUACUGGUACCUUGACGGUACCUCACCAGAAAGCCACGGCUAACUACGUGCCAGCCGCCGCCGUAAGAC
rnacentral:rRNA from 1 species